UUUUUUUUCUUUUUUUUUUUUAAUGUCUUUUUGUCUUUUUGCCAUUUUCUUGGGCCACUCCCAUGGCAUAUGGAGGUGCAGCCCUAAGAAGACAAAAGACAAAAUAAAUAAAUAAAUAAAUAAAUUGCGCUUCAGGAUUGAAGAUUUUUACAGAAAUUAAUUUUGCAGUUUUUCAUGGUAAAUUGCCUUGCUUCUUUAGCCUGUAUCUUCUUCCUCUGCUCUCUUAUUCCAAAACCCCCAGCCUUAGCUUUUUAGACCCCAAUUCAACAAAGGCCAGAGACUGGGGUCAGGGUCUCAGUACAAAAAUAGAGUCCCUUCUGACUGGUUUAAACAGGAAAUGAAUUUAUUAGAGGAGGAGUAAAAGGGCUGAAGAAAUAGAUUUGAGGCUACACUUCUAAGAACAGUGCACAUAACCAUCCCAAAGAAUAGGUCCUAUGAAAAACCACCACCGCUGUUGCUGUUGCCACCAGGCACUAGAAACCAGGAACUCAACUUCACUUCAAGGUUGCAACUUUAGUACCAAAAACUCACCCCUGCAACUGCUGCUGCUACCACACCGGCAAAAUGGAAGUGCCACACAGAAGCCACUCUCUGUUAUUGCUCAUUUCCAAGCUGAAGUCUCCUGUGGAGUCAUCUAACUGGUGGAGAAUAGGACAUAACACCUGCAUCCCAGGUUCAAGCGAAGCUAUAGUUUAUGUUCUGACGUCUAUGUUUCUUGAGUCUCCUUUUUUGUUAAUGACUCAAUGAAUUUUAUUACAUUUAUAGUUGUACAACAAUCAUCACAACCAAAUCCCUGAGUCUCCUUUGCUGCUUAUGAAAACCCAGGAUUCAGGGUCCUGGUGGCAACCACUGAGAUUCCAUGAUAACCCCCGAAGGACAGCUUCCCCUGUUCUAAGGGUCCAAGUUCUCAGAAAUGAGCUUCUGCUUUGGUGUCCUAUUCUUGCUCUCUUGUUUCUCUAGAGAUCGGAGUCCAGACCUUUCGAAAAGCCUAGUGCCUGGGGUUCUGCUAACUUACCUUGCCCUGGCCAGUUUCCUUCCUAUAGCCCUGAGAUGCCUCGGAACCCUACGACACAAGGUAAGUGCACAAUAAAUGCUGAAUAAAGAAGAUAUUUCCUCCACUGAAAAGACCUCCUAGAUGACAGCUACAUCUUCCCAAUUCCUUCUUACUGGGCUUGGUCAGCUAUCAGAAUCCUGAUAUCCGUCAUCUAGAACCACUAAACUGCUAUGUCAUUCAUAUAAUACACCUCUCCACCUGCCAUCUUCCACCAUUAACUUUUCUGUCCCCUCAAUCAAUGGAGAUCUGCCUGUGCCAACACCAUGUGACAUGACUUUAGACAAAUGAUUUCAUCCCAGACCUUGUGUUUCCUCCCUGCAAGGCUAGUCAUGUAGAUUAUGUGCAUAGUUCUUCUAACUUUUAUGAUUGCACACAGUGUCGCUAUGGAAUAUUAUUAUAAAAUAGGAUAUGCAUCUUUUCUUUCUCCUUUAAUACAGUAUGAGGAUCUAUAAUAGCCAAACAAUACCAUAUUUUUUAAACUGACAUACUACACUUCCCAACAAAGAGAUGAGGCCAACUACAAAGAACACUGUAGC
rnacentral:lncRNA from 1 species